GCUGGUCUGGGUCUCCGCCUCGACGCUGCAGCAGUGGGGCGUCCUGGACCGGGCGGAGGCGCCGCCGGACUCCCUGCGCUCCUUGCGGCGGGGGCCGGCGGAGGGCGGCGGCUGCCGGCUCUGAUGGGAAACCUAAGUGGGGGAUUUGAGCUGCCUGCCCUACACUACAACUGAGAUUUGGAAGAGAGCCAGGAGCUCAGGAGUGCAGGAGUGCCAGCCAGCCAUACACUUGCCGGGUACACCCAAAACCUAUCAUUUUUGGGUACACAUUUGAGUUGAUGCCAGAAAAUAAGCUGUAGAAUAAGAAGUCACAAUCCUGGAGAAGCAUUGCUGAAUGCAGCCCUCAAGCAGCAACCCCCACGCUGUUUACUUUAGGUUUGUGGUGAAAGAGCACAACUAAAGAAGAUAAGCGUCUCUGUGCAACGUGCCAGAGUGCUUGAGAGGAGUGAAGGCUGCUGCAGGAUGGGGAACUAUGUGGACUGCUGAAAAGCAACAGGAAACUGUGAAGAGUAACAAUGCUUUGCCUGACGCAGAAUCAAAAAGUUCUAGAACCAAAGGAUGGCUGAGUUUGAAAGGGUCAUCUGGUCAAAUCCCCCAGACACCCAAGAAGGGCCAUCUAUAGCUGGUUGCUUGGGAUGGGCAUAUCUGGAAGUUUCUUCCAUGUCCAUUGCCUCUGGACCUCUCACUGUGCACCACUGAAAGAGUCUGUCCUCCUUGCACCCUUCCUUCAGUUUACAUCGAUGAGAUGUGCCCAGAGUCUGCUCUUCUCCAGGCUCAACAGUCUCAGCUCUCAGCCUCUCCUCAGAAGCACGGUGCUCAGAAGGAGCUUAGAGAGGCAAGAAUACAGAACAAGUAAGUGAUAAUCAGUGCGAGCAGAAGCUGGAGCAGAGCUGAGUGAGUGGCUGCAGAGGGGAAGUUAUGUCUGUCACUGAAGUAGGAACUGAAGGAAAGUUAAAGACUCCUUUUCCUACCAUCAGUGCUCUUCCUGAAUCUUGCCUGUGAGAAGACAACCAUGGAUCUACUGAAUAAGGAGAAAGAGGGACUAUUUAAAGAGGGUGCACACUUAUAGCACACCUCUUAUAGCACACUCCAGUCAUGCUCCCGAAGUCUUCCUGCUGCAGUAUGACCCGACUGAUGAGCACUAAAGCAGAAGGCUUUACUGUGAGCAGCAUGCACCAACCAAGGAUGUACAGAAGGAACAGAUAUACUGAAGCAGAAUCUGUCCUCAGAAAUGCAUAUUUAGUAUGGUCCCAGAAUGAAGUCAGUGCAUCCAGGCAAUGGCAAGUAUUCACGUGCAUCAGUUUUUCCACUACUAAAGAGCUUUUUCUGGCUUUAACUGCAACAAUAUAUAUCCUAACAAAUAUUAUGCUCACAGGAAACCCAUAUUUUACACAGGACUAAUUUCAGUAUGAUGAAUUUAAGCAUAUGAGUGAUUUUGGAAAUCAGAGGUUUCCCUGAAACAUCUUUUAUUUUUUGUUUUUCCAGUAGAAAUACAUUCUCUGUGGUGUUUACACCUGCAAAUCUCCCCAGAAUAAGGAAAAUAUACUCUUCAAAACUUUAUAUUCCUUCCAAAGCCAGUCAUAGGCUUCACUCUGAUCUCACUAUUAAGGCUUUAAGCUCUGAGUAGAUUGCUAAGUUUAUGUUGGUAUUAUUGGAAGCAUCAUCUCUAAAUCCCAGUUCUUUGCAGUGAGAAUAUACUACUUCAGAGGUCCUAUUUUACAGAGACUUGAAAAUCUGGUACUUGACAACCCACUAUUGAUGACAGUUACCUCUAUUCAUGGGUCAUUUACUGUAAAAAAAGUUUAAGAAUGUAUAAAUAAGCCUGUACAAAAGGAAAAAACAAACUUUACCAGGCUCUUAGGCUCAACAGUUUCUCAGUCUUUUCAUAUUGGUCCAACAAAUUUCUUAACUGCAGUAAACAAUAACAUCCUGUACACCCAGAUCACAGCAAAUACCUAAGAAUUAUUUAAAUUAUCCAGACUCCAUACACUGUAUUUAACUUAAACUAGAUAUGAGAACUAGAAUAUAAACUAGUCAUGACAGCUAGAAUAGAACUUUUGUCGGUACACCACUGUUUGGUUAAAAAAAACCCCAUCUUUAUGGUACUUUGAUAAUGUAUGAUAUAUCAUCAAAUGGUAACUUCAUGCUUUUACUCAUCAACAAUAGAAGAAAUCAUGGAAUUUGGAAAUUAAAAAUAUAUUAAAUACAAGAGAUGAAGGUUACUUUUGCUUGAGAAAGAGCAAAGUGUGAUUUUCAGUCCACAAAUCCAAUGACUCACUCAACAAAGAUGAAGAGGAACAUCACUAACAGUAAUGACCUCUCUCAAAUUCAGCCAAAAAGCAAAAUAAUCCUUUUUUCUUAACAACUCCUGCCCCAAAUUCCUUUAAUUUCAUAACUUUGAAAAAUCACUAAUUGCAGCAAAGCUGUGUUUAAAUACCUUGAUUUUGUUACACUGUUUCUGUCACUGCUGUGAAUAAUUGUCUCCCAGUCGCAAAAUUCUACAAAAAAUUUACCUUCCGGUAGGUAUUGUUCAAUAGAAUGAGGUUCCUGGAAUUGCUUGCUAAUCUCACCAUUGAACUUGACUUUCAUCUUCCUUUAAUAGUCAGGUUUUGAUGGGCUUGGACAACGCCACUUAUUUCAGUUUUGCCCAGAAGCUAAUAAAAUACUUUACAUUAUGGAUAUUUUGGAAGCAGGGAAAGAAGCCUGUUGCAAGGGAGCAAAGCUGAAGAGGAAAUUCGGUCUGGUUUCCACUAGCAGCCCUUGCCACUGCAUAUUUGCCAGGCACAAAUUGUUCUGAGUGCACAGAGGGGCAGGUGGCCUUCUCUCACUCUACUUUCUCCACUGCUUUGCAUGCGAGCAAGGAAGUUCAUUGUUUCCUGCCCUUCUCUGUCCGCAGUUGUUUCUCCCUCCCUCUCCUACAGGUAGAAGAUGCAGUCCUGGCAUUUUGCUCCUCACCGCUGAGAGGUGAUGAGCUGCCCCAGGGAUGCAGAUUCCCUCCUGGAGAUGAACACCUGUAAUUUUCCCUAGAAUGGGCCAAAAUGGUACUGUCCUUACUACCAGCUUUAUUUCGAGAGACACAGCAACCCUUUACUACAACGUUUUGAAGAGGAAGACUAACAUACAGAAACACUUAGCAACAACAGUCUUCAGCCACUAGCAGUAGCAACAGUUUUACCGGAGGAGCUUAGCUUCUGGCAGGACAGUGGCCACACACUUCUAGUUAUGAGCAAGUUUUCUAGAACAAGACGGAUCACACCACAUUUAACAGGCUUAGGCUGCUGCACUGGAACAGACCCUUUGAUUUGCCUUUGUGUUGGCUGGAAUCAAAUACUCCACAGCACUCAAAAGCUAAGAAAUGCAGCUGUAGGCUCUCCUACAGCACUGAACAGUUCUCCCAAGCAGCACUUGGUGGUCGUUUCCUCAAAAGCAGCUUGUUCUUUGCUCGUUAUUACUUCAACAACAGAACUCUUCUCCCUUGAUUUAUUGCUCUCCGGGAAUAU